UUUGCUAUGCUGAUCCCAAAUUGAAUCGCUGUAUUCAGAUGAAGGAAAGACGGUGCGAAUCCGUCGCGGUGCCGCCGCUGUAACCGGGGACGACACCCGCAUCUUGCCACUGUUCCAGGGAACGGGAAGGCGCGGGCGGUAGGACGAUCCGGAAGCCAGAAAGCCUGUCUGAAUAUGCUUCACACAC
rnacentral:ncRNA from 17 species